rnacentral:lncRNA from 10 species
GGUUUUUUGAUGGGGAUUGCAUUGAAUUUGUAGAUUGCUUUUGGCAAUAUGUUCAUUUUCACAAUAUUGAUUCUACCCAUCCAUGAGCAUGGGAUGUGUCCUAUUUAUAUGUGUCGUCUAUGAUUUCUUUCAGCAGUGUUCUGUAGUUUUCCUUAUAGAGGUCUUUCCACUCCUUUGUUAAGUAUAUUCCUAAGUUGUUUGUUUUUUUUUUUUUGUUUUUUUUUUUUUUAGCUAUUGUGAAAGGGGUUGAGUUCUUGAUUUGAUUCUCUGCUUGAUCACUGUUGGUAUAUAGAAGAGCUACUGAUUUGUGUACAUUAAUCUUGUAGGCAGAAACUUUGCUGAAUUCUUUUAUGAGUUCUAGGAGCUUUCUGGAGGGAUCCUUAGGGUUUUCAGAGUAAACAAUCAUACCUCAGCAAACAGUGACAGUUUGACUUUCGCUUUACCAAUUUGGAUGCCCUUUAUUUCUUUCUCCUAGCUCUGACUAGGACUUCCAGUACUAUGUUGAAGAGGAGUAGUGAGAGAGCUCAUCCUUGUCUUGUUCCAGUUCUCAGAGGGAAUGCUUUCAACUUUUCCCCAUUCAGUACUGUGUUGGCUGUGGGUUUGUUGUAGAUGGCUUUUAUAACAUUAAGGUAUGUCCCUUGUAUGCCAAUUUUGCUGAGAGUUUUAAUCAUAAAGGGAUGCUGGAUUUUUUCAAAUGUUUUUUCUGCAUCUAUUGAAAUAAUCAUGUGAUUUUUGUUUUUAAUUCUGUUUAUGUGGUGUAUCACAUUUAUUGACUUGUGUAUGUUAACCACCCCUGCAUCCCUGGUAUAAAACCCACUUGAUCAUGAUAGAUUAUCUUUUGGAUAUAUUGUUGGAUUCAAUUAGCUAGUAU